rnacentral:lncRNA from 1 species
CAAAUAUUUCUGUGAUUCUAUGAUUCUGUGAUAUCUGGGAAGCAAUGAAUGCUGACUUCCAUCCCACACUCAGUGGAAGGGCUGGAACCCCGCUCUCGCAGCUCUCAUGUGGGCACUCAGCACAUCACUGCCCAGCAUGACAUUUUUCAGGAGCUAGCCCCUGGCCCUUUGCCUUUCCUUCCUGUCUCUUCUUUUACAUAUUCAGCUAAAGAGCUAUCUAUAAUUUUUGUCACUUUCAUUUCCAGUAUGUCACCAUGGAUUAUGAAAAGUAAGCCACCGUCCGCCCAUUUAAUGGAGUGCAUCACCGCGGAUAAUCGCUUUGGAAUGUAAAUCAGUUUACUGUUACCUGGUUACUGCUGGAACAUGCACAAAGCAGAGAGAAGAUGGCUCUAGCACACUGUUUGGCAGGCUUUGAUGAGUGCAGAUCAUCCCUGCAAGCAGAUCGAGGUAGAGGAAGAUCAGAGUGGAGACUUAGCUGGAUCAGGACAGCCUGCCAUCAACUUAAUCUGUCAUACAACCCGGGUCCUUGGAUGAAAGUACCUGACAGGUGCAGAGAGGACGUGCUGGAAGCAAAGACUGAAGACAGAAGAGAGUACUGUAUUGAUUCAUGGACCAUAACAGGAGAAACCAGUGGUCCAGAAAACCACAAAAGACCACCUGCAGUUAUCGCCACCCUCCUUCCUUAAAGAGGCUCAAAAGAACUAGUAACAGAAGCAGAAAUGCAUCCAGAGCUCUAGCUACUUUUUACAUUAUACUUUAAAUUGAAUAUGUUGCAGCAAUGACACAAAAUGGAGUUUCUGCCCUCCUUACUAGAAGGUUGAUAAACUGUAAAAAUAAAUUGAGAAGAGUAUGGCA